GCCUCUAUGGCGUAGUGGUAGCGCGUCGCACUGUAUGUCUCACCUACUUCUUCUAAAUUGUAAGCAAUUGUUCGCUAACAUCAUUACAGUGUAGCCAUUACAAGAUCAUGCGAAGGUCUCUCGUUCGAUCCGGGAUGGAGGCA